rnacentral:rRNA from 1 species
GGUUAAGCGACUAAGCGUACACGGUGGAUGCCCUGGCAGUCAGAGGCGAUGAAGGACGUGCUAAUCUGCGAUAAGCGUCGGUAAGGUGAUAUGAACCGUUAUAACCGGCGAUUUCCGAAUGGGGAAACCCAAGUGUGAUUCGUCACACUAUCAUUAACUGAAUCCAUAGGUUAAUGAGGCGAACCGGGGGAACUGAAACAUCUAAGUACCCCGAGGAAAAGAAAUCAACCGAGAUUCCCCCAGUAGCGGCGAGCGAACGGGGAGCAGCCCAGAGUCUGAAUCAGUGUGUGUGUUAGUGGAAGCGUCUGGAAAGGCGCGCGAUACAGGGUGACAGCCCCGUACACAAAAAUGCACAUGCUGUGAGCUCGAUGAGUAGGGCGGGACACGUGGUAUCCUGUCUGAAUAUGGGGGGACCAUCCUCCAAGGCUAAAUACUCCUGACUGACCGAUAGUGAACCAGUACCGUGAGGGAAAGGCGAAAAGAACCCCGGCGAGGGGAGUGAAAAAGAACCUGAAACCGUGUACGUACAAGCAGUGGGAGCACGCUUAGGCGUGUGACCGCGUACCUUUUGUAUAAUGGGUCAGCGACUUAUAUUCUGUAGCAAGGUUAACCGAAUAGGGGAGCCGAAGGGAAACCGAGUCUUAACUGGGCGUUAAGUUGCAGGGUAUAGACCCGAAACCCGGUGAUCUAGCCAUGGGCAGGUUGAAGGUUGGGUAACACUAACUGGAGGACCGAACCGACUAAUGUUGAAAAAUUAGCGGAUGACUUGUGGCUGGGGGUGAAAGGCCAAUCAAACCGGGAGAUAGCUGGUUCUCCCCGAAAGCUAUUUAGGUAGCGCCUCGUGAACUCAUCUCCGGGGGUAGAGCACUGUUUCGGCAAGGGGGUCAUCCCGACUUACCAACCCGAUGCAAACUGCGAAUACCGGAGAAUGUUAUCACGGGAGACACACGGCGGGUGCUAACGUCCGUCGUGAAGAGGGAAACAACCCAGACCGCCAGCUAAGGUCCCAAAGUCAUGGUUAAGUGGGAAACGAUGUGGGAAGGCCCAGACAGCCAGGAUGUUGGCUUAGAAGCAGCCAUCAUUUAAAGAAAGCGUAAUAGCUCACUGGUCGAGUCGGCCUGCGCGGAAGAUGUAACGGGGCUAAACCAUGCACCGAAGCUGCGGCA